GACGAACGCUGGGCGUGCUUAACACAUGCAAGUCGACCGGAAAGGCCCUGCUUUUGUGGGGUGCUCGAGUGGCGAACGGGUGAGUAACACGUGAGUAACCUGCCCUUGACUUUGGGAUAACUUCAGGAAACUGGGGCUAAUACCGGAUAGGAGCUCCUGCUGCAUGGUGGGGGUUGGAAAGUUUCGGCGGUUGGGGAUGGACUCGCGGCUUAUCAGCUUGUUGGUGGGGUAGUGGCUUACCAAGGCUUUGACGGGUAGCCGGCCUGAGAGGGUGACCGGCCACAUUGGGGCUGAGAUACGGCCCAGACUCCUACGGGAGGCAGCAGUGGGGAAUAUUGCACAAUGGGCGGAAGCCUGAUGCAGCAACGCCGCGUGCGGGAUGACGGCCUUCGGGUUGUAAACCGCUUUCGCCUGUGACGAAGCGUGAGUGACGGUAAUGGGUAAAGAAGCACCGGCUAACUACGUG
rnacentral:rRNA from 1 species